ACAAAAUCACAAGCACGGGGAAGUCAUUUGGACUUGCAAAUUGCAUUUGGGAAUCUUAUCCGGAGCAAAGGCUUGACACAGAUUAUGCUCCUUGGACAGAAGGACGGCGUCAUGUGUAGUGUUUUGGUGUCUGUCACUCGCAAUUCCACAAAGUUUGGCAAAGGAUGGAAGGAAUUUUGCACGGAAUAUGGGUUGAAGGAGGGAGACGUGCUAGUCUUUGAGGUUAACAAUCUUGG
rnacentral:sRNA from 1 species